GAUGAACGCUGGCGGCGUGCCUAAUACAUGCAAGUCGAGCGAACAGACGAGGAGCUUGCUCCUCUGACGUUAGCGGCGGACGGGUGAGUAACACGUGGAUAACCUACCUAUAAGACUGGGAUAACUUCGGGAAACCGGAGCUAAUACCGGAUAAUAUAUUGAACCGCAUGGUUCAAUAGUGAAAGACGGUUUUGCUGUCACUUCUAGAUGGAUCCGCGCCGCAUUAGCUAGUUGGUAAGGUAACGGCUUACCAAGGCGACGAUGCGUAGCCGACCCGAGAGGGUGAUCGGCCACACUGGAACUGAGACACGGUCCAGACUCCUACGGGAGGCAGCAGUAGGGAAUCUUCCGCAAUGGGCGAAAGCCUGACGGAGCAACGCCGCGUGAGUGAUGAAGGUCUUCGGAGCGUAAAACUCUGUUAUUAGGGAAGAACAAAUGUGUAAGUAACUAUGCACGUCUUGACGGUACCUAAUCAGAAAGCCACGGCUAACUACGUG
rnacentral:rRNA from 1 species